rnacentral:ncRNA from 1 species
AAAAAAGCAAAGAAAGUGUUAGUAGAUACUUAUUUUCUGUCAGAGAUGGGGUGCCACCGGCUGAAAGCGCUCCUCAGUUCAGAUAAGUGUUGAGAUUCCCACUGGAGCUGCAGUUCUGAAACAAGGAGUAGGAAGUGACGUGGCUGUGCGUUAAACAGUUUCGAGUGCCUGGAGCAUAUGCUGCAGGAACAAGGGUGGUACCACGGAUUAUUGACUUCGUCCCUUUU